CUGACUGCUAUCGGAUUGAUACUAAGCCAUGCGAGUCAUUGUAGCAAUACAAGGCAUACGGCUCAGUAACGCGUAGUCAACCUACCCUAUGGACGAGAAUAAUCUCGGGAAACUGAGCAUAAUUCUUGAUAGAUCAUAAUGCCUGGAAUGGUUUAUGGUUAAAAUGAUUCGUCGCCAUAGGAUGGGACUGCGGCCUAUCAGCUUGUUGGUGAGGUAAUGGCCCACCAAGGCGAUUACAGGUACGGGCUCUGAGAGGAGAAGCCCGGAGAUGGGUACUGAGACACGGACCCAGGCCCUAUGGGGCGCAGCAGGCGAGAAAACUUUGCAAUGUGCGAAAGCACGACAAGGUUAAUCCGAGUGAUUUCUGCUAAAGGAAUCUUUUGCCAGUCGUAAAACCGCUGGUGAAUAAGGGGUGGGCAAGUUCUGGUGUCAGCCGCCGCGGUAAAACCAGCACCUCAAGUGGUCAGGAUGAUUAUUGGGCCUAAAGCAUCCGUAGCCGGCUUUGUAAGUUUUCGGUUAAAUCCAUGUGCUCAACGCAUGGGCUGCCGAAAAUACUGCAUAGCUAGGGAGUGGGAGAGGUAGACGGUACUCAGUAGGUAGGGGUAAAAUCCUUUGAUCUAUUGAUGACCACCUGUGGCGAAGGCGGUCUACCAGAACACGUUCGACGGUGAGGGAUGAAAGCUGGGGGAGCAAACCGGAUUAGAUACCCGGGUAGUCCCAGCUGUAAACGAUGCAGACUAGAUGAUGCAUUGGCAUAAUAGCCAUUGCAGUGUCUCAGGGAAGCCGUUAAGUCUGCCGCCUGGGAAGUACGUACGCAAGUAUGAAACUU
rnacentral:rRNA from 1 species